ACGUCACAUGCCCUGCGCUCAGAAGUUUGACCUCCGUCCUGAGGACAAUGGUGAGUGACUGAAGAGUUUAGGCAGGGAGGGGCCCCUGGGUGGCUCAGUCGGUUAAGCUUCUGACUCUGGCUUUCGGCUCAGGUCAUGGGCUCACAGUUCGUGAGUUUGAGCCCCGAGUCGGUCUCUUGUGCUGAUGGUGUGGGAUCUGCUUGGGAUUCUCUCUCUCCCUCUCUCUCUCUCUCUCUCUGCCCCUCCCCCGCUCAUGCUGUCUAUCUCUUGAAAUAAAUAAAUAAACUUAAAAAAAAAGAGUUUAGGCAGGGAGGCGUUGGUCAUGUCUGUGUCGCAGGAGGACUCCUCGGGCUGCGGGGUGGAGGAUGGGUGCAGGGAGGAGGUGAGAGGUGAUGGGGCCCCCUCGCUUUUUGAGAGUUCUUCUUUAGAUCCUAUUUCCUUCUGAGAGUGUACUGAUUACUCAGCACCACAAGCUGGGGAGCACCUGCCAUUGUGCUCCCAUUACCGAUGGUGGCGGUGGGGACAGUUUGGAUGACAGGCUGCCCUUUGUCUCAGAAGGUCAUGCCUGACUCCCUAUGUGGCGUAGUUGUAAUCUUCGCUGAUUGCUGAUCACGGAUUUGCCUUGCAGCCGUCAGCUCUUGGUGUUCCUAGAGAGUUAAGGGGGCUGGAAUUUGUUGUCCGACAUAGUGGCUCAAGUCCGUGGGAACUGGGGCACCAAACUUGAAUCUGUCAUGCCUCCGGUUCCUCGUUAGUAAACUGGGCACGGCGGUAGCCCUCUGCCCUGCACGCCCAGGAUGGUAGUGAGAAGGACCCGCUUGUAAAUGUGCAACGUUUGGCUGACGUGUUUGUCGUGUUGAGAAGCUGUUAACCCAAGUGCCGCUCCCGGGCUCUAGGAGACCAUACGGUUAGGAACGUGUGUGCUUUAAUCUUGGCUUUGUGGUUUCCUCACUGCCUGUCUCAGCCUCAGUUACUUAGUUUAUAGCAGGGGGGUCAUGGUAGGUGCCUCCCUCAGGGUGUAUUGAAGCCAAAGCUCCUUUCAAACCACAGCUGUGGACGGGCCCUUCCUUCUUUUGGGAAAGGGACACGGGUCUUGGAGCGACACGUCCUAUGACUCGACGGCUGCGUUUGGAGCGCAGACUGGCCGCCCCCUCCAUCCAAGGGCGUGGACUCCACGGGUGGCGCGUGACCUUGCCUCGAUCCGUCGUAGCAGGGGCUGUGGCGCCCUGCCCAGUCCCCCAGCCGUCAGUGCUGUCCUUCUGCAAGGUCCCGCAAGCCUCCGACGGAGGGCUCUCUCUUGCUUUGCACCAGGUACAGGCUGGAGCUGGUGCCGCUGAGAGCAGCCCUCAGCUAGCAACGGAUGCAAGGUGACAGCUAAACACGGCUUCUUUGACCCUUGGGGGGGGCCACUUGUGAGGCGUGCCACUGAGCCCCGGGUGCCCACGGUGACAACCCAUUUGUUAACACUCUCUGUACCGUCUCCCUUCCCUCCCCCUGUCAUCCCCAUCCCCUUAGCUUUGCCUCCUGGGGGCACUUCCCAAAUGAGUCACUGGUACCCAAAUCCCCGUCUCAGCUCUGCCUCUUGGUGAACCCAGUUCGGGACACCCGAGAUGGUGGGGGGAUGAGGGAUAUGCUUCCCCCGGAAACGAGGGAAGAGAGGCCAGGAGGCUUUUGAGAGACAGGGGGUCCGAGCAAGAUGGCGAGCACCCACAGGCUUAAAGACGAAAGGUGGCGACGAAGCAUUACCGGGAACGGCUGAGGUCAAGAGCACUGGUUGACUUCUAAGUCACAUGCUGUGCUGUGUAGCCACUGUCGUGGUCCUCAGACCUCCAGGAGAACUCACUCGGGUGGAACAGCACGGCACUCAUGGUUGCUUUGCGGAAUCAAAAGGAAAGGCUGCAGCGUUCUUUGGGUUAGCUCGGGGCAGGGGGAAGACUCCAGUGACGGGGGUGGGGGGGCGAGACCCAGAUGAGACAGAGAAUUUGGCCACGUGAUGUCUAGGAGAAAUAGAAGUCCCUGCAGGUAUUGUUGGGGCUGCAGUGUCCCCCACCACCUGUGGCAUAGAUGCUGGGGCCAUUUUGCUUACAUAGUAAGAGCAGGGUGAAGCCACAAGAUUGGACAAUGUGGGGACACCCAGGUGCCUGCCAACAGGAGGUUAUGUGCGUGAAGCACCCAGCUCAGUGCUUGGUUCACCCUCAUCACUCAGGAGAUGGUAGAGAGGGCCCCUUCUGAGCAAGGUCGUAUGCUGUGCCAAGCAGGUGCUCAAAGAGCACGGAAGCUUGGCCUCGUGGAACUGGAUUUGAAAUAGUUGCUCCAACCCGGCGGGCUGAACCCCAUCCCAUCCCCUGUCCUCGCCAAGUGCCUGGGGAUCCUCUCCAUGCCUCACCUUCUCCUUUGUUAAGCAGGAAACUCCAGCACAAAAUACAUGUUCUUUUGGUCGAUUUUCUGGACAUCCUUCAUUUGAGAGCAUCCAAAUCUCACACUCUGGGGGCAUUUUAUUUCUAAUUUGUGGCUAGACAUAUAUAGCCACAAAUAGGACUGCCGGUGAAAGUUGCUGAGCGACCAGGAGGCAACUUUUCUGUUUUUCCUUUUGUCUUGAAGUUGUGGUAUCUUCCUGCCCGCCACAGGGCCUUUGCACACACCGUUCUCUCUGCUCAGAAUGCCAUCCUGCGGACACCACCCCUCCUUGCCGAAUUAAUUCCUACCUGUCUUUUGUGUCUCAGCCCGGGUCUAGCUUAUGAAGGAAAAUCCUCCUUGAUUCCAGGUUUCCUUUCUUACGGACUGUGUUCUUUCCCUCAACCUCAGCCUAUGUGAUUGUGUGAAUGGCGCCCGUGAGCCAGGAAGCACUACGAGGCGGGAACGGCGUCUGAUUUUCUCCCUAUCGUACUGCCAGCACCAGCACAGCUGGCCCAGAGAAGGUGCUCAUUAGAUAUUUGCUGAAGAAAUCAGUGGAGAUAUUUUUAGUUCCAGGGUAAAGGGGUAAACUUGGACCUCAUCUGUGGGUUCCAGGGCUAAUGGGGCCUCUUACCAGCCAUCCCUCUGCCCUCUGCCUCCAGGUGAAUCAUUGCUUAAAAUGCAAACAUUCCCAAGUCCUGGCUCAGCUUCCCCCCUCCCCAUCCGUGUGCCUGAGGAGCAGUAAUUGUGCGGGGAUGCAAGUGCUCAUUACACGAACAGAGGGCAGCGUGGGACAUAAAUCUAGAAAAUUGAAAGGUAAGUGUUCUUUGUUCUCUCUCCCUCUUUCUCUCUCUCUCUCUCUCCUCCCUUUUCCUCCCUUCCUCCCCUCCUCACUCCCUCCCUCCCCCUCCUCUCUCUCUCUCUCUCUCUGUCACUGUCUCUCUUUCUUCUAUAGGUUCUUCUCUGAGCUUUCAAAUGCUAAUGAACAUGGUGAAUCCCCAGGAGGGUCUGCUCUGUAGCAUGUCCCAAGUGUGUUUGAUCCUAGAAUUUAUUGAUUCAUUGAUUUUUUUUCUUUUCUUUUUUUUUUUUACGGAGCAAAUUUGAGAUUCGUGUUUCACAAGACAUUCUUGGGAAAAUACUGACCUACAGAGUUAAGUCCAAGUUUCUUAGCUUUAAGUUUAAGGUCCAUAAAGACCUGGGUCCUGUACGUCUCAGUGCUCCCCCUCCCUCUCCCGUUACUCCGCUCUAACCACGCAGGGAAGGGUGGUUUUCCCAUCACCACAUACUCUCUCAUGUCUCCAUUCCCUCUGUCAGGAUGUCAGUGACUCUGUUGUCUGCUGGCUGACCUCCUGUUCAAGACCCAGACCAAAUAUCACCUCCUCCGUGAAGCUCUCCCUCACCCUUCAUCUGUGUUCUCAGAGCCCCUGAUGUAUCCUUCCACCAUAGCAUGGCCAUGGUUGGCUAUAAGGAGCUAUAGUGUCUCUGACCUCUUUUUAAACUCCCCGGGGUCAAGAUCAAAGUCAUGUAUUCGCAGCCGUGUCCCCAGUGAUCAACACAGGACCUAUCACAUUAUUCAUGAAUAAUGGCAUGGAUGAGGGCUGAAACGGAAAUGUUUCCAGUCUUUAAAAGGGUGGAGACAGAGAUGGCCCAGCCUCCCUUGCCAAGAUCUGCAGUGAAAAUCUCUAUCCCUCCAUCCUUGUCUUCUGCUUCUAUGGUUAACCCCAUCCUGGGCAGCUGGAAGUGAUAUAUUCCAUUCUGGUGAGCUUUCCUUUGGCUCAGGGUGGACGCUGCACACAGUGUUUGCCCUGAUCAAGGUUAUGCGCUGGAUUCUUCUGGUCACUUUGGGGUCUUCACCGAACUUGGCCACUCAUCGACACUGAACAGAAUUGCUCACGCUCUCCUUGAAACAUCAUCUCCUCUUGGCUUCUAGGACACCACAUCCAGCUCCCCAGUCCUUCCCCUUCCCCCGCCGGACCUCCAAUUGUUGCGGGGCCCAAGGGGCUCAGUCCUGGGCCCUUCUCUACAUUCUCCCCCAGGACAUCGCGUCUACUCCACUGGCUUUGAGUAGCACCUCUGUGCUGCUCUCUCCCGUCCUGACCUCACCCCUGAGAUCCAGGUGCAUUCACCCAAAAGCUCCACUGGAUGUCUGAAGGCAUCCAAACCUCCCAAGGCCAAAGGGGGAUCCUUGGUUUGCCCUACCCCCAAAUGGCUUUCCUCUCUGGUCUUCCCAUUCCAGAAAAUGGCCCCAUUACUCACUUAGUUGUUCAAGCCCAAAACCUCUUAGCAAAUGAAUCUGUCAGUAAGUCCUGCAUAGUUUAUUCCUAAAUAUGGAUGCGAUCUGCCCCUUUUGAACCCUUCCCCUGCUAUUGUGCCGCCACGAGCUCUCACCUGGACCAUUGCAACAGCACCCACACUGAUGUCUCCGCUGCCCCAUCUGCCCUGCACUCCUUCCCAUUGCCACAGGCCAACCUCAUAGAGUUCGUGAAAGAGUGAGGGCUUUGGGGUCCGGCGUGGGUUUAUGUCCCGGUUCUACCACGUAUGAUCUGUGUGACCUUGAAGGAAGGACUCAACUUCUUGGAGCCUCAGUUUCUCAUCUGUGAAAUAAAUAUUAAAGCAAUCAACUUGCUUUGGAGCUGAGGUGUCUCUGGGGCCUUCUUUCCUAUGGUUAAGAUGAUGAGAUAGAGCUACAGGGUAGACUCCUUGAAUUUGAUUUCACCAGGAAAACACAAAGUCAGACUAAAUACCCGGGGAGAAUUGCAUUUAGAAAUAUGUGUGUGCUAAUUUUUGUGACCAUUGUAAUUGUAUCUACUGAAUGUCAAGCCCUGCUUUGGGUAAUUUACAUACAUUGACAUACGAGGUUUAAAACAACCCCGUGAGGAUGCUUGGCUGGCUCAGUGUGUAGAGCAUGGGACUCUUGAUCUUGGGGUUGUAAGUUCGAGCCCCACGUUGGGUGUAGAGGUUUCUUAAAAAUAAAAUCUUUAAAACAAGAAUAAAUAAAACAACCCCAUGAGAUAUACUCAUGCAGGAGACCCAGAGUAGUUAAGUAACUUGUUCAAAGGCACACAGCUGCUAAAUAGCAGCGUCAAAUUUUUGAACCUCGGUUCCAUUCUUUGACCCUAAAGAAGCUGGCCCCGCCCAUACAGAGGUGGUCUCAUUCAGCAGAGGGAGCCCUGGACUUGGAGUUGGCCCUGGGUUCGAGUCUAGACUCUGCUGCUCAGAGAAGUUGCCUCAGUCAAGCCACUACAUCUCUCAGAAUCUCUAUUACUUUGGGGCGUCUGGGUGGCUCAGUCGGUUAAGCAUCCAACUCUUGGUUUUGGUUCAGGUCAUGACCUCACAGUUCGUGGGUUCGAGCCCCACGUCAGGUUCUGUGCUGGCAGCGUGGAGCCUCGUUGGGAUUCUCUCUCUCUCUUUCUCUCUCUCUCCCUCUCCCCUGCUCAUGCUUGCACUCUCUCUCUCUCAAAUAAAUAAACUUAAAAAAAAGAAUCCCUAUUACCUUGUGAGAAAAAAAAACAUGAAGACAAUAGCAGUUACCUCCUUAGGUGGUGUGAAAUCAGAUGUGAUAUGGUGUGCUAACGUGUUCCACAAACUGUAAACACGUGAAUUAUUAUUUCCCCCCUCGGUAUUUGUGAGCAAUAUGGGUCAGAGAGGCUGCUUUUGGGGGCCCCCGUCCUGCAUCCUGGAGUGCAUCAGCAUCACCGCGGUGAUGUGUCCCCUGCCUGGGGAGCCUGGAAUCUCACUUCUGCUCACCCUCCCCUUAGCUGCUAUUAUUUUCUUGACUCCGUUUCUCUCUUGAGCCAUUCGUCUCUCGGUCCUUAUGUUCCAUUGUUCCAGCCUCCUGGAAAACCUGCCUAGAGGCUCUCACUUGGAAGACAACAUCUGCCUAUCCAACUCCCAAUUUGUAUUACUGUAUUAUUCUCACUCAAGGGAAGACAGCCGUAUUCUUAGCCCCCAUGUAACAGUAAAGUUUUUGUUUGUUUCUUUUUGCAUUUCCAGAGAUGUUUCUUAUUGGGAUGGGGUUGUGAGAGGCUGCCUCUGUUCAGACCCAGGGCUUCCUCUGCUUCCUCAUUCGGGUCCCUGGGAUGUAGCCCCCAAACCUACCCUGACCCCGAGUUGAGCGCAUGAUGGCCCGUGGCCAGCAGGGGGCAGCAGAGGGCAGCAGAGUAUGACCUAGAAGGGGCUGGCAGAAAGGACGCGUGGUUGGUUCUGUCCUUGGGGGGCCAGGGGCUCCAGGGGAAGGGUCUGGUCACUGGGUCUGCCCUGCUCUGAGUCUCUAGGCCACACCCUCUGGGCUGGCCUGGAAUAGACAGCAAUGAAAUGGGAACUGUCUCCAGAAGGCUGGUGGAGGGAACGCAUCUCUAAUAGGGUAAGGGAAGGCUGGUUGCAAGUGACAGAGAUUCCACCGGAAAUAGUUAAGACGGCUUUCAUGUUUUAUUCUCCUGCAGAUUGGCCCCUUCCAGGAACGGGAACCAUGGUCACCAGCAACUCCUGCCUCACGUGUUCCCUGAUUCAUCGUCUUCCUUUGGUUCUGAUUGGCCAAACCUCAGGGGGUGACUUAUCCUCUGGAGUUGGGUUAUGCCCUGCCCAUGUGGCCAGGGGGCGGGAGCAUCCUCUGACUGACAGCCAGGGCUGCAUGCUGGCCUGGGGGGAGGAGGGUUCUCCAGAUGAAGGGCUUUCUCUUAGGGAGGCAUAGAUGGGCACUGAGCAGACACAACAAUAUGCAUCUGCCACGGCCACGGUUGUGUGUGACAGUGUCCCUUUGGUACAAGGGCCCCCGCCAUUUCUCAGAUUCACGAGCUGACCUUCAGGGCCCAGGUUAGCAACCUUCGUCCCCACCUCCCUUUCUGAAAUGAAGGGGUAGCAUCCCAGGAGG
rnacentral:lncRNA from 1 species